rnacentral:rRNA from 1 species
CCUACGGGAGGCAGCAGUGGGGAAUAUUGGGCAAUGGACGCAAGUCUGACCCAGCAACGCCGCGUGAAGGAAGAAGGCUUUCGGGUUGUAAACUUCUUUUAAGGGGGAAGAGCAGAAGACGGUACCCCUUGAAUAAGCCACGGCUAACUACGUGCCAGCAGCCGCGGUAAUACGUAGGUGGCAAGCGUUGUCCGGAUUUACUGGGUGUAAGGGGCGUGCAGCCGGAGAGACAAGUCAGAUGUGAAAUCCACGGGCUCAACCCGUGAACUGCAUUGGAAACUGUUUCCUUUGAGUGUCGGGGAGGAAAGGGGAAUUCUUGGGGUAGCGGUGAAAGGCGAAGAUAUAAGGAAGAA